CAAUCCAGCUCCUGAAGGAACAGCGGGAGGCCAAGGCGCUGUACGAGGAGGUGCGCGUCCUGUGCUGGGUCCCCGUGUCCCCGGGGCUCCACAACAAGACCGCGGUUCACGUCAAAGCCACGUGGGGGAAGCGCUGUAACAAGCUGCUCUUCAUAAGUACCAAGGAUGACGCCAGCAUCAGCGCCGUCGACGUCGGGAGCGAGGAAGGCUUCAAGGCGCUCUGGAACAAGACUCGGUCUGCGCUCAAGUACUUCUACGCGAACUUUUUCAACGACUACGAGUGGUUCCUGAAGGCCGACGAUAACACGUACGUUGUGCUGGAGAACCUGCGGUAUAUGCUACGGGCUUAUGACACGAACGAUCCGGUGUACUUUGGGCAUCACUAUAAAUCGAAAGGGGGAUACAAUUCGGGAGGUGCGGGAUAUGUGUUAGGCCGAGAAACCCUUCGUAGGUUUGUCGAGAAGGCAUUACCCAACGAAGCCAUUUGCACAUCACGGAGAUACGGGGAGGAUUUUCAACUAGGUAACUGCAGUGGUUGUGUGCCAUGCUUGCUGAUAUCAACGCGAUAUUAUUCUUGUUUCCCUCUGUGCUUCGUGCUUCCCAAGGCCAGUGUCUCCAGGCAGUCGGCGUCGCAAUCGUGGACACCCGCGACCACCUCAAGCAAGGGAGGUUCUUUCAACAACAUGUCAGGGAAAUCUUGCAGAAUCCUAAUAUUCACUCACACCUUGUUUACUACCCGGUCAAAAAGGAUGGCACGCCAGACAGCUGUUGUUCCGACACUGUCAUAUCUUUCCACCAGAUGUCAAUCGCCGACCUUUAUAUGCUAGACUACCUCAUCUACAAAGUCCGGGUCUUCGGCUACAUCCAGCCCCUGCCCUUACGGGUUCCUCUCCCGCCUGACCUUCAAGGCGUCCCAAACAGGACGCUUCAAAAGUAUUUCCUGUAAGGGAGACCGAGUCAAAGUGCUUUUCUUGGAUUUGGAAAUGGCAAAGAAUGGAGGUUUAAAACUGGAUCAAAGGAAACUUAAACUUUCCUGUCACUUAGAAAAUAAACUAAUAAUAAAA